AUUAAAGUAGCAAAGAGGUUACUGCUAUAGAUUUAGGAUCUAUUAUCGAAGGUUCGAAUCCUUUUUUUAGUU
rnacentral:tRNA from 1 species